rnacentral:rRNA from 1 species
AUGGCGAGUAAAGGAGGAGGAGACUGGUUUAGUAGUAACGUACUUGAUGAAGCGCUCGGAGAUGGUGCCGGAGGCGAGGCGACCGAAGAAGCCCCAGAUGCUGGUCAUGGAGACGAAGAGGGACACGUCGGUGUAGCCCAUGGCCACGCCCAUCUGCCCCAGGUUGUUCAUCACCGCCAGCCCCGUGCCCACGCCCAUCAGGAACGACGCGAAGAGCACCCAGAAGAAGGAGGCCGGGUCGUCGGCGAAGAGCGCGGAGCAGACGUCGGUGAAGAUGGCGGUGCUGAGCCCGACGUAGCCCUUGAGGACCCCGGAGACGGGGCCCCUGCUGCCGCGGAAGUUGCGGAUGCAGGUGACGAGCACGGCGGUGUUCAUCCAGGUGGUGGAGUUGCCGCCGAGGCAGAGGCAGACGCACAUCUGCCAGUAGGGCAGCGGCGCGAUUGUUUUCGACACGACGAGCCACUGCGCGCCGUAGCCGAGGAAGCCCUCGAGGGAGCCGAUGGCGAGGAGGAGCCAGGUGGGGAGGCGGUCGGAGGCGAGCCCCGCGAGCAGGCCGAAGGCCUUGCCGACGUCCUUGGCGACGGAGAGGCCGUUGAGCUGCAGCUGGGUGAGGCCCAUGAGCGUCUUGAUGGAGUCGGAGUAGUUGGAGAAGGUGUAGUUGUUGCCCGAGAUGCACUGCACCCACACCGCCGCCACCAGCCCCAGCCACCGCCCCCACGCCGUCCCCGCCAUCGCGUCCAGCGCCGUCGACACCAUCGCCGCCGGCCAAACGGGUCUCGAGCCUACUACCUACUACGGCUCCUUCUACACUGUUUGCUUUGGCCGCGUCUGCCUGCCUCGGAGUGGGCGGGAGGCGGUAUGGGAGGGAGGGCGGGAGCGGGGGCGGUGGAGGCGCGUUGCUUUCCGCGCGUGUCGCGUCGGUCAGUGGGACGGGGCGUGGGUGGGGGGUUUUCGCCUGAGAGGUCACGCUAA